CAUUUACAAGAGCUCUAGCUUCAAAGACUUCAUUUGCAGAGCUCUAGAUUCAAAAGCUUCAUUUACAAAAGCUCCAGCUUCAAAAGCUUCAUUUACAAGAGCUCUAGCUUCAAAGACUUCAUUUACAGAGCUCUAGCUUCAAAGACUUCAUUUACAGAGCUCUAGAUUCAAAAGCUUCAUUUACAAAAGCUCCAGCUUCGAAAGCUUCAUUUAAGCUUCACUUGCAAAGCUUCACUUACAAAGUUUCAGUGCAGGGUAUACAAAUACCGCCUCCGAACAACCGCCACUUCGGCCCAUACAUGGAUUCAAUUUGAAGUCUCCAGCCAACAGACUCUAUUGACCGAAGACUUGGGGGACUACAUUAUGUACCAUAUAUUGGGCCUCAAUUGGGCCUCAUGAAAAAUAUUUGGGGGACUUAGCCCAUUAUUUAUGUAUUAAGGAGCGAGCCCUUAUUCUAUAAAAGGGACUCCCUUACCUUCAUUAGAGAGCAACGCCGCCAGCUGAGCAACCGCCUUGCUGCAAACAUCACUCCUAGCCCAUCACUUAUGUAUUGAGGAGCGAGCCCUUAUUCUAUAAAAGGGACUCCCUCACCAUCAUUAGAGAGCAUCAACUCUAGCCCAUCAUUCAUGUAUUGAGGAGCGAGCCCUUAUUCUAUAAAAGGGACUCCCUCACCUUCAACGCCACAAGUUGAGCCAACCAAGGCAACAUAAGCCACAAGCCGAGCAGCCUCGCAGCGUGUGCUACUUCUAGUUGAGCGUCAUUUCAGAUUAAGCACUGCCUCAUAUCAAGUACCAGUUCAAGACGACAUCUAGUUACUUCGGCCCACACAUGGACUGAAUUUCAAGUCUCCAGCCAAAAGACUCUCUUGACUGAAGACUUAGGGGACUACUGUUUAUACCAUAUUUAGGGCCUCGUAUUUAGAUCUCGUACAAAUACUCAGGGGACUUAAAUGUAAUUAUGGGAUAAAGGA
rnacentral:lncRNA from 1 species